rnacentral:lncRNA from 1 species
UCCCAACAUGACUACUUUCUUAAAAAUCGAAGAGAGGGUAAAGGAACAGUACCAUUGCUGGAUAAUUGGAAAGUCCCUGUGUGUCAACCUCUGCGCUUCGUGGCAAGGUAGACUAGCAAACAUGCCCAACCUUUACUCACAUUCGAGAAAACACUCCCAACAAGAUUGCUUGCUCCAAAAUCGAAGAGGCACCGCCCUCCGAAUCUCGAGAGCCAGACUCCCAACAUGAUUACUUUCUCAAAAAUCGAAGAGACACUGCUCCCCGAAUCUCGAGAGCCAGACCCCAGCAUGAUUGCUUUUUCAAAAAUCGAUGAGGCAUCGUUCUCCGAAUCAAUCGAAGAGGCGCUCGCUUUCUCAAAUGCUGGGCUGCUCAGAGACCACGAGGGUCGAUCUCAGAAAUCGAAGAGGCACCUACUUUUCUAGCCUUGUCAGCACCUGUCACACGCACACUCAGCUUUGCAGAAAUUAUGGGCAUUAUGUCGAAGACUUCUGGUGAAGUAGAAAGCACAUGAAUCUUACUGUUCAAUCACCCACUUCCCACACGCAACAAUAGCUCAUGGGUACCACAAAUAACUUUGCCAAAGUUCUCUGCCAAAGUUGAGCACGUGAAAGCUUGCAGCUCCCACUACAUCGCUCUGACCAAGAAAGGUAAAAGAAUAGCAAAGAAACAACAGCACUAACAAAAGUUUAGACACAUAAAUUUUGAAGGUCUAGCUACCAUAUUAUUACCCACAACUGUAAAGGAACAGUACCACUGCUGGAUAAUUGGAAAGUCCCUGUGUGUCAACCUCUGUGCUUCGUGGCAAGGUAGACUAGCAAAACAUGCCCAACCUUUACUCACAUUCGAGAAAACACUCCCAAUAAGAUUGCUUGCUCCAAAAUCGAAGAGGCACCGUCCUCCGAAUCUCGAGAGCCAGACUCCCAACAUGACUACUUUUCUCAAAAUCGAAGAGAGGGUAAAGGAACAGUACCAUUGCUGGAUAAUUGGAAAGUCCCUGUGUGUCAACCUUUGUGCUUCGUGGCAAGGUAGACUAGCAAACAUGCCCAACCUUUACUCACAUUCGAGACAACACUCCCAACAAGAUUGCUUGCUCCAAAAUCGAAGAGGCACCGCCCUCCGAAUCUCGAGAGCCAGACUCCCAACAUGAUUACUUCCUCAAAAAUCGAAGAGACACUGCUCUCCGAAUCUCGAGAGUCAUACCCCCAGCAUGAUUGCUUUCUCAAAAAUCGAAGAGGCAUCGUUCUCCGAAUCUCGAGAGCCAGAUACCACAGACCACUUUUUCAAAGUGCUCUGACAGAGUUAAAACAUGUGAAACUGGCAGCUCCCACUACCGUGCUAUGACCAAGCAGGGUAAAGGAAUAGCAUUACUACUUGUUGUUAGGGAGACUCCUAUAUAUGUCGACCUCCAUCCCCAACGGACAGGCAGACCUGCAAAAAUGCUCAACCCUUCAUCAUAUCUGAGAGGGCACUCCCAACGAAGCCUUUCGAAAUAUUCAGCUUUCUUUCCCCCCGAUAAUACCUCUGCAAACAAGCUAUACUAGAGCAAGAAUAUCUCAUAUCAUCAGGGUUAAAAGCAAGAGUAUCCCAUAUCAUGCUUUUUCCCUGUCUUUUCUUUUGGCCUUGUUUUUACCUGCAAGACAAGGAGAAAAAGAGCAAUCAGUCAGCACUUGGAAUCAAGCUUCCAGCCAGGAACUGACUGCUUGGAACCCCUUACCUUAUUACUUACCUGGCAUUGCUCUCGAGUACUCAUCUUCAACAUCUUAUGUUUCCAGGGAAGAUUCCGCAUCUGCUUGAGGAACAGAUAGGGCAAGUGCGAAGGAUACAAGGAAGCAUGUGGAGACAAGCGUAACAGCACACGUGCCGAUACAUUCAUUACUCUGUCAAAAGCAAAAGUAUCCCAUAUUAGCAGGGUGGAACGUACUCUAGAUUUGAUGGACUUGUUUUGACCCUCAAAUUCUUCAGUCGGCCUUAUACUCUGGAGAAAACCAGAAAACCCUCCAGCUCAGUUCAAGAAUAAGCCUGUGGAAAGUUACUUCUUCAAAAGCAAAAGUAUCUCAUAUCAUCUCUUCUCAUUUUUCUCUCUUUUAUCCUUCAUGCUGCUGCAAGAUGGGGAGAAGGUGAACAAUCAGUCGGAGCUCUGAUUGCUUACCUUGUCUGUCACCUCUUUCAGCAGACCCCCUAGCUCGGCGACUUGGGGGACUCCUACUACAUGGUUUGUAUCGCGCUUGACCAAGCCUGAAACUACAAGUAAGCUUCAAGUGAAAUUGAUACAUUACCUUGUGCAUCUCCACCAGUUAAAGAUACCACCCCUGGAUGGAGGAAGAGUACUUCCAGAGAAGAUGCCACAUCUACCUAUGAGACAGAUAAGGCAAGUCAAGACGACAUCACACUCCGAUAUUUAGAAGUUUCGUGAUUACGAGAUCAUUCUACCACAAUAUUUUCUAAUGUCAUUUGUACUAAAUCAUUCACUUGUACUCACUAAAUGAGAGCUUGAACCUAUGUACUUGUGUAAACCCUUCACAAUUAAUGAGAACUCUUCUAUUCCGUGGACGUAGCCAAUCUGGGUGAACCACGUACAUCUUGUGUUUGCUUUCCUAUCUCUAUCCAUUUAUAUACUUAUCCACACUAAUGACUGGAGCAAUCUAGCGAAGAUCAUAAAAAGCGAUCGUUUUCGCUACCUAGGAUCUAUCUUGCAAGAGAACGGAGAAUUAGAUGGAGAUCUCAACCAUAGAAUACGAGCUGGAUGGAAAGAGUGCAUCCGGCGUGUUGUGUGACCGUCGUAGGCCACUGAAGCUCAAGGGAAAAUUUUAUAGGACGGCAAUAAGGCUAGCGAUGUUGUAUGGCACAGAAUGUUGGGUGGUGAAGCAUCAACACGUACACAAAAUGGGUGUAACGGAGAUGAGGAUGCUUCGUGGGAUGUGUGGGCACACGAGAAAGGAUAAGAUUGGGAAUGAGGAUAUCCGAGGUAAAGUAGGAGUAGCCGAAAUUGUAGGAAAGAUGAGAGAAAAUCGGCUCCGGUGAUUUUGAACAUGUGCAAAGAAGGCCUGACGCUCCGGUUCGAAGAUGUGACUACGGGACAGAGGUUCAGGGCCGAAGGGGUAGAGGAAGACCUAGGACAACUUUGGAAGAGACUCUAAGAAAAGACUUAGAGUACUUGGAUCUAACGGAGGACAUGACACAAAACCGAGCGCAAUGGCGUUCUAGGAUUCAUAUAGCCGACCCCACUUAGUGGGAAAAGGCUUUGUUGUUGUUGUUGUUGUAUUAAUUGUAUAAACCCUAAAUCUUCCUCGAGUCCCUAUAAUCCAUGCAAGAAGUUUGUUGAACUUUGUCAUACUCAAUAUAUAACUGUGUACACGUGUCUCACUCAACUUCAUGGAAUCUGCGAAUCGUUAAACUGUCGUGAAGUUUGCCAGAGUCAACCUACUUAAUGAACUCUGCAAGUAUAUACACUAUACAGAAAAUCGAAUCAACUGCAUCCUCUUAUAUUUUAUAUUUAAUUUUGUUGUAUUGACUUUUUCUUGUUUUCUUGCAGUCGUUUUUGGCCAUCUGUGAAGGCAUUCCUCUAUGAAGUUCCCAUGUUGGGAUGGAUCAUAAGGUUUCUAUUCUGGUGAGUUGAACUUGUCUUGUUUUAUUGUUCAAGAUGCUUAAUGCUCCAAACCGUUUUAUUUGAAAUGGUUGUUCUGACCUCGCACCAUAGUUCAAUUGUUACCCUGUAAAAGAAUUGUUUGUAGCUUCACUUGGUGACAGCUGAGACUCGCAAAUACUUCCUUCUCUCUCUCCCACUCACUACACAUGAAAAAUGAAAAUCUUUGUGCGUCUACUUGUUCUUGUGGAAAAUAUUUUGUGACAAAAGUUAUUUCAGAAUUGUUAUGGACCAGCAGGUACGUAAAUUUACAUUGAUCACGUACUCACGAUUCCUAAUAGUGAAUACAUUGUAAGACUAAGGAUUUUAAGGGUGAGGUGCUUGUAAAGUUAAAAGUUUGGACCAGUAGCCUCUACCCGCUCUAAACAUUACCAAACUAUACACUGACUAUUCAGUCUAUUCUCAUCGAGUCACAUGUACUCUUUCUGAUGAAAGAAAUAUGGCAGACAUGAUUGUUAAAAUGAAAUCUCGCUGCAAAAGUUUUGGAUGGACGAUUCAAGACAAGGAAUGGUCUGGUAUAGUUGUAUGCAUAUAUAUGUAUGUAUGUAUGGUUGAAGAUUGAAAGCCUUGAAUAAUCAGGCAGAGAAUCCAAUCCCAAAAGUUUGUGGAUGGGAAUUGCCAUGAACUUAAUAUCAUCUUCUAAUGUCUUGCAGAUUCUUGAUCAACUUCAGGGCAGUGAUGCUUGACGUCUACUUAUAUAACAGCUCGUGUCUCACAGGGUUUCCUGAUUCUUCAGAAGCCGAACAAGGUCUAAGCAACUGGCUUCUCAUGGGUUUAAGAUUCCAUCAUCAGAUGAGUGAAAAAGAAGAAAGAGACUAGUAGUACUGGGUAGCAUAUCAUCCAUCACACUUAAAAUGUUGUGUAACAAAAUAAGUUUUAAAUGCAUAUGAAUUCAGAUUCUGUUGGUAAUAGUUGUAAAUGAGAGAUGAGCAAGUGAGAUGGAUUAUUUGAUGUCUUUAUUUUCCAAUAAAAAAAAAUCGAAAAACAAAAAGCGAAAAUGUUAGCGCAGAGAUGGAUACGGACGAGCAAUUUUUAGGUGUAUUUCGAUUACCAUCACGUUUCGUGACUAUUACACAUGUUCUAAUAUGAGUGGAUGACAUGGUUUGUAUGUGUCCCACUUCUAGUAAUGCUACGCGGCGGUGUUCCAACUUCCGAGUACAUUACUCUCGAUAGAGAGAUGGUAUGUGUAGAUUGACCUUAAAUGCUGGUAGAGAGAGUUGGUUUUUGAUGGAUUAAAAGUGAUAUCUACUUGCCACCAUUAAAUGCUUGCCCGUCUUCCUCCUUUUAAUGAAUGUACGUUUGAUGAGGGCAAUUUAAGAGCACUCUUUAAGUAGAGAAGCACCUUUUGCAUGACUCCUGCAAUCCAGAUAGGUAGAGAGCAAUACUUUGCCCUACACACCCCACCAUUUAUAUACUUAUACUUUCUCUUUUCUUGUGAUAUCAAAUCCUAGGUUUUUUUAAGAGGGCGACCUCAACCUAACAAGGUUCCCGCUUUGUGAAAGUUUCCAGAAAAUGGAAAUUCCAGAGCUCUCUUUAGGUCCAACACAGUUGGGUUUUAAUAAAAAUAGUAGCAGUAGCAGUAGUCCAGUGGAAUCUGCAGAAAGCAAAGGUACUUGUAGGAAGAGGAAGUUUUUCCAAGAUCACCACCUGAAGAGUAGUGCUCCAUCUCCAUCACUUCAAACAAGCGUUGAUCCUCAACUUAAAGACCCCCUUCCAUUGGAUUGGGAACAGUGCCUUGAUCUUGAUUGAGCAAUAAUCUUAGAUUGAAAUCUUUUUGGUUUGAGUAUUUUGAUUUAAAGAGAAAUAUUAAAUCUCAGAUUAAGAAAUUUAAUAUUUUUGUUUGGUGCAGUAAUACAAAGAUUAAUACCUAGUAGAAAUUUUUUUUUCCGCAUAUUUGAGUAGUGUGAUAGAGGGCGAGUCUUGGCAUAACGGAAAUGUUACUUUUUUGUGACCGAAAGGUCACAUGUUUGAGUGAAAAAACCUAUAUGCAAAGUAAGGUAAGGAUGUGUAUUGUAGAUGCCUCCUGAAUCUCGCAGAACGAGGAGCGUUGUUGGCUUGGGGUCACCUUUAGUCAUUUUAAACAGUAAUGUACAUGCAUGAGAAUAUGUUUGAUUAUGAUCUAUUUAUUUUCAACUAAUAACUUCACAUGUUCUUAAUUAAUCAAGGUUAAGAUAUGGUUUUGUCUUAAUUAUUUGUUGUAAUUGAUAUUAUUGUCUGGUACGUACUUGUUUGGUGCAGUCCGGGAAAAUGUACUAUCUGAACAGAAAGACCUCGAGAAAGAGGUGGAACUGGCCUAUCAACCAGGCAUCUGUGAACCUUGAGCUCAACAUCUCAACGCUCUCAGGUUCAAGUUCUGGUUCGCGAUUCAACCGAAGCUCCGAGACAAUCGAUGAGGCCAAGAACUGUUGUGCGGAAGCGUCAAAUAUGAAACCAAUAAGCUACAACGGCAAAAUAUGAUAAGACAAAUAAUCCAAAUGACACAAGGAUUUAUACUGGUUCGGCGUAAGCCUACGUCUAGUUCCGAGACGGCGAGAAAAUUCCACUAAUAUCAAAAGGAGAUUACAAAUAGAGUUUUAACUUUCAAACCCAAAUCUCACAUACACCCAAUAGCUCUCACUCUCACAAAGAACAAUUGGAGAAGAUGGACACACAUCAAAUAUCAUCUCUCCCAAAAGCUACACAACAUGUAGCAACAACAUCUUUGGUUGAGGGAUUACUAACAAAAGGGGAUUACAAACAAAUGGGAAGGAGAAGCACUAUUUCAAAUGGGAGAGCCGAACGCUCUCCCUAGUAUGGCUCUCAUCUGAUGCCGCUCCCCCACACCUCCCACAUUCGGCUGCAACCUUUAUCCUUACAAAAUCAUCCAAUAAAAAAUCCAAAGUAAAGAAUAAUCAUUCAUUUACAAACAUCAUCAUGACCUUCCUUUUUCUUUUCAGCAGACAUAUUCAUUUUUCUCCUCAUAAUGAUGUUCCCACAUCAUUCAUAAUGAUGUUCCCACAUCAUUAUGUCCUUCAUUUUUUAUUAUAUACUUUUGGCCACUUGGCCACUAAUUUGGCCACUAUCCAACAAGAACAACAACUGCAAGUAUGAUGGCAGCUGAGACAAUAGUAAUAACAAUAACACGGUAGCUUUGGCUUGCAGGAAAUGCCAUCUCCUUCUUGUUCUUUCCAGGUCUUCUCCUUGUUGCCCCAACUGCCAAUAUCUCCACUCACUUUAAACUUAAUUCCAACCAACUCUUGGAAAGCAAGGAUUAUG